GACGAACGCUGGCGGCGUGGAUUAGGCAUGCAAGUCGAACGGUAGGAUACCUUCGGGUAUCUGAGAGUGGCGAACGGGUGAGUAACACGUAGGUGAUCUACCCUCAAGAUUGGGACAACCCAGGGAAACUUGGGCUAAUACCGGAUGAAAGCAGCAGUGAUGUUGUUUGAAAGGUGGCGUAAGCUGCCGUUUGGGGAUGAGCCUGCGCUCUAUUAGUUAGUUGGCGGGGUAAAGGCCCACCAAGGCGAUGAUAGAUAGGCGGCCUUAACGGGUGGUCGCCCACACUGGGAUUGAGAUACGGCCCAGACUCCUACGGGAGGCAGCAGUCGAGAAUAGUCUACAAUGGCCGAAAGGCUGAUAGUGCGACGCCGCGUGAACGAAGAAGCCCUUCGGGGUGUAAAGUUCUUUUAUAUGUGAGCAGUGCUUUCUAUGUGAACAGCAUGGGGAGAGAGAUAUUAGCAUAUGAAUAAGCAACGGCUAACUCCGUGCCAGC
rnacentral:rRNA from 1 species